rnacentral:rRNA from 1 species
GCGUUGUUCGGAAUUACUGGGCGUAAAGGGUUUGUAGGUGGCUCGCUAAGUCACACGUGAAAUCCCUCAGCUUAACUGGGGAACUGCGUGUGAGACUGGCAAGCUCGAGUGCAGGAGAGGAAUGCGGAAUUCCAGGUGUAGCGGUGAAAUGCGUAGAUAUCUGGAGGAACACCGGUGGCGAAGGCGGCAUUCUGGACUGCAACUGACACUGAAAAACGAAAGCCAGGGGAGCAAACGGG